UUGCGUUUCUUGCUCUGCAUUUCCUUUCGGUGUCCACUGGUAAAAUCUUAAACCUUGCUAAAUUAAAAGAAACCAUCAAAAUUAACCUUCCUAAAGUGAAAUAGCAGAGGGAGAAGAAAUAGAAAAACAUUGUUACAGACUACUGGAAAGCCUUUCCUAAAGGGAGGGUACAGAGUAUUUUCCUAUUGGACUUUAAGGUGGUACUGGUCUUAUAAAUUAAACUAUCUUCUUGUAAUCUGAUCUUCCCUAUGCCUGUGUUCUUGCUUGUGUAAAGUGGUAAUAAGACCAACAAUUUUUAGUGUUUGUUUAAAGUUCCCAUUCAGUACUGUGGAAGAAAGGCUGGCACUUGUGUAGUUUUAGUUGUGAAACUUUAAAUAAUGCCUGUUUGCAUCUGGUUACAGGUUCUCGUUUGGUUCCUGCUUUCAGGUGACAUUCUUCAGCAUUUUCACAAGGAUUUUAGUCCAUUUGUUUUUUUGUUUGUUUGUCUUUUUUUUUUUCUUCUCCAAACACAAUUCACAUUGGGCCAUAGUUAUUCUGGGCAUUAAAGAAAAUCAUUCUUACACACCUUCUCCGUUUGGAAAGUAACCUUGUGCUUUCUCUGCUUCCUGACUGUACAUUCUUCGUCUUUGCUUCUUGAUGUUAACUUAUCAUGCUCUUUAAAACAACAGGAGAACAUUCAUACUCUAAGAUUUAAUUUUAUACCAUUUGUACAACCUUUUUUACAUUGUUUGAUUUCUUUUGAAGCUUCUUACUGUUUUUAAAAGAACUUGCUAUCUGCCCCUGCAUAAAAGGGGAAAUUAGCAUUUAGAAAGAAAUGGCUUUCAAAAUGCAUUUCAUAGUACUUCAUUAGCAGAACUUUUAGCACAUUAUUUUUCUCAAUUCCUUUAUUAUAAUUCUUCCUGUCUUACGUUGACUAGUAGAGUUUGCACUUAAAUUUUCUGUAAAUAGGCUGAUUAGAUUUAUAGAUUUAAAUACAGUAAGAGUUCUUGUACAAGAAACAAAAUUCAUAAAUUCCUUACAGACUUAGGAUUCUUGGUUGCAAUGCUAACUUAAGAGUAUUUUUACUUUUAGUCGACCGAGUCUUUUGACUGAAAUGUAAAUUGUUACAUGCUUCCUGCUCUUCCUGAUGUUUGUCCUUGAACCUUGUGGAAGUUAAGAUAUUACAAGACACAUUUCUGAGAGUGUGAUUUGAUAGGAGCUGGUGAUAUUGAAAAUAUAUAUUUAUCUUUAAUUUGAUUCAAGUGCACUUUGCAACAAACUUUUGGCAGGUGAGUUUCGGUAUAAAGGAACGGGAGGAGGGGACUUGAGCAAUCCCCUCCUCUUGUGUAUCGUAAAUAGCAGCAACUGCUGACAGACGUUAAUGAUAACAAAAAGGGCAAACCACUUUUCUCAGGCGGUACUAGAAGAUGCAGUGGUUUCAGCACAGUCUAACACCAGGGUUCCAAGGACAUUACUACUCCUGAACCCCUCAACCACCUGUGCUGCCCACUUGAAAGCUUGGCUGCCAAAAGGUGAUUUACCUGGGAGAUCUGUCACUCCUGCUGCCUGUUGCCCAAGGCGGUUUCCGUGACCAAGCUGACUUCAGAUUGUGGCUGCUGGAAAUCAGCACUCCCAGAGUGCCAGCCUAAGGAUUUGGGUAUUUUGAGGAUCCCAGUUGCAAAGUAGCUUUCUUUGGGUUUGCUAGUCUGAAAAAAAAAAAAAAAAAAAAAAAGUGAGUAGCCGCAGGGAUUCCCCACUUUCAAGGCACAAUCCACAAAACCAGCAUGUUUCAGCACCAAGCUGCAUGGGAUUCAGGCUAGUCAGUACCUGAAAGGAGCAGUAUGUAAGGAGAUAAUACAAAUAGCUCGAGGAGGGGAUCUUUCUAGCCUGUGGAUCUCAUCUUUGUGCUUCUUCUGGAAUUUCGUGACCGUCCCUGAGCUAAGCAUCUGAAACUGGUACUCACAGCCUAAAAUCUCCUCUGAAUGUGCAUGCCUCAGUUCACUCUGUGAGUGUGAGAAUCAAAUCACUUGUAAAAUGUAGGAGAGAGGGUAGUUCUGGAGCCCUGAACUCCACAUCUGUCAUACUGUCUGUGUUUUUAUCAUAUGAGUUUUGUGCAGAAAUUGUAAACUACCUAGGGAGCACUGGGCUACGUGUGGGUGCCAAGAACAUUUCUGAAUAGCAGAGCUAGCAAGUCAGACCUCUGAUGGGGGGUUUGAUGCAUAAUUUCCCAUUGUGAGUCGUCUUCUGUCAUUUUCAUGGAAGUCACAGCUUAACAAAGUGGACUUUUUUUCCUAGCCCAUGCUAGGCUAUGGCUGCUGGUACUUUUCUGGAAGGUGUGGAUGUGAACCAUCUCGAGUUGCUGUAAGUUUAGACUCUGCGUUGUCUUCCACUGGGAUAUGCCAGUAUUUUUCUUUGUUUUACCCAGGUGUGUAGUUGAAACCAAUAACCUCUACUACUUUAUUACAGCCUUACAGGUGUGAAUGUGAGGCAAGUAAGCUUUGAGCAGGCUGCUUAAACUGAAUUUUUGAGGGAGGUUAGUCUGGUCUGAAUGCUGCCUGAUUUGCUGAGAUGAUGUCAUUUCUGGGAGGGCCCAGGAGCAGAAACUCAUGCCCUGGGUUUGGGGUGUGCCCCUUGGCCAACAUGACCAAAUAAAGGUACUUGCAGAUCAUUCCAGGAAUUUACCUGUCAGUCUUAAACCAACAGUACAGGUCUAUUUAUGAAUCUGCUCUGAAAAAACACCAUUGCAAGAAGGAUAGCCUGGGAUGCCAGGCUCUCAAUAGAAAUGGCUUUUGGACUCUAUCCUCUGCCAGACUGUGUGGGAGUAUUGCCCCACAGGUAAGGACCGUGGGAGGCCAGGCUUUGCAGUAGCACACCACCAGAACCUUUGCUGUCUUUCCUCUGAAGUUUUACUUGCAUCUGUUAGAUUUCCAUGAAGGGUUUUCUGGCAGAUCUGUGAACUCAUGCUGAUGAUCUCUGCUUCACAUUUGGUAGCAAAUCUGUAGAUUGUAAGUAGAGGCUCUCUUGUGCAAGUAUUAACUUUAUCCUAAUCAAUGCCAAGCAUCAUCUUAGUGCCAAAGAAGGAGGGAAAAACCUGCAAUU